rnacentral:rRNA from 1 species
CCUACGGGGGGCUGCAGUGGGGAAUAUUGGACAAUGGGCGAAAGCCUGAUCCAGCCAUGCCGCGUGUGUGAAGAAGGCCUUCGGGUUGUAAAGCACUUUCAGUGGGGAAGAAAGCCUUGGGGCUAAUACCCUCGAGGAAGGACAUCACCCACAGAAGAAGCACCGGCUAACUCCGUGCCAGCAGCCGCGGUAAUACGGAGGGUGCGAGCGUUAAUCGGAAUUACUGGGCGUAAAGCGCGCGUAGGCGGUCUGAUAAGCCGGUUGUGAAAGCCCCGGGCUCAACCUGGGAACGGCAUCCGGAACUGUCAGGCUAGAGUGCAGGAGAGGAAGGUAGAAUUCCCGGUGUAGCGGUGAAAUGCGUAGAGAACGGGAGGAAUACCAGUGGCGAAGGCGGCCUUCUGGACUGACACUGACGCUGAGGUGCGAAAGCGUGGGUAGCAAACAGGAUUAGAUACCCGAGUAGUC